rnacentral:lncRNA from 12 species
AUCUUGGGUAGGGGGAUGGAAGUAGAAGGAACAUGGGCUUAAGACAGAAAGAAAAUCAGGGAUCCCUGGGUGGCGCAGCAGUUUGGCGCCUGCCUUUGGCCCAGGGCGCGAUCCUGGAGACCCGGGAUCGAAUCCCACAUCGGGCUCCCGGUGCAUGGAGCCUGCUUCUCCCUCUGCCUGUGUCUCUGCACCUCUCUCUCUCUCUCUCUGUGACUAUCAUAAAUAAAUUUAAAAAAAAUUAAAAAAAAAAAGACAGAAAGAAAAUCAGCCUUGGAAUAGAAAAUACCAGAGCAGAAGAAGAGUUUUGAAAUGCCCUUGGCCAGAUAUUCCCAAUAUCUUUUUGGAAUGAAGAUACCGGUAAGGUCUUCCUCCUCAUUCAAGAUGCCCCCAAAUAUGCCAGAGCCCAUAUUAGACGGAUAUGCUUCAUGGGAUCUUCCUUGCCAGAGAGCUAUUUCUUAUUCUUCUGUGAUUCCUGAUCAACACCAAGAAACACAGGACAAGAACAUAAAAGAAGCAAGUGUGUUUUAAUUUAUGCUCUGCAAACCUAGAUAUUAGCCAUGGUACCACAAUAUCCCAAGCCAAAAUACCAAACAAUGAUGGAUUUAUUGUUUCCCUAAUUUAAAACAAGCCUGAUUUAUUUUUAAAAAUGCAACCUCAAGACACAACUCACCAGACGUGAUAUGGAAUGUAUUAUAUGCCUAACCAAAAAACAAAACGCUACGCGGUACAGUGGAUUUGAAAAUUAUCUUGCUAUUAAUAGAACUCCCGGAUGGCUGUGAUCUGUUGGAUUUGAUACAUUCAGGUUUUGGCAGCUGCUGGGACUGAAAACAAGACGUUCCAUACGUUAUUACUUAAUAGAGAAACUAGGUCAUAAAAUAGCCCUUUGGUGAAUUUUUUCCAAAAGGUUUUGAAGAGCCCAAUUUCAUCUUUAAUAAGUCCGCGUUGCUGAGUAUGUUUGGCAAAGCAGCAGUGUGAUUAACAGACUCCUUCUCUGGAACUUGUGUAAAAUUGAGAGCAGCUUGGGGUGCCCCGUUACUGUCAUCUCUUCAGCUGGCAUUAUACGCCCACAACAAAUAUUUGUUGACUCCCCGAAGCGCCCUUCUCUUUCCUUUUAUAUUUUGAGGGUCUGUCACUGAGCUACUGACCGAAAUGUUUGGACUGAGGAGAUUUACAAAUAUAUCUGUUGGACAGAUCACAUUUUUAAGAGUUUAAGGUAAUACUGUUCUAUUCUGCUGGGUUCAAAAUCACUUUUAAAUGUUUAUUUGGAAAACAUUUCUACCUACUGGCCCCAUUAAAAAUAAGCUUUUUUUUUUUUUUUAGUUUUUAUUUAAAUUCCGGGAUAGUUACCAGAUAGUGCAAUAUUAGUUUUAGGUGUACAAUCUAGGGACUCAGCACUUCCACACAUCACCUGGUGCUCAUCACAAGUACUUUCCUUCAGCCCCAUCACCUGUUUCACCCAUCCCCCAAACAAGCUUUUUUAAAAAACUGAGAUAACCCCCCCAAAAAAAUAGCUUCAGUGAUUUUAGGG